rnacentral:rRNA from 1 species
AUUGAACGCUGGCGGCAGGCCUAACACAUGCAAGUCGAACGAGUGGCGGACGGGUGAGUAAUGUCUGGGAAACUGCCCGAUGGAGGGGGAUAACUACUGGAAACGGUAGCUAAUACCGCAUACCAUCGGAUGUGCCCAGAUGGGAUUAGCUAGUAGGUGGGGUAACGGCUCACCUAGGCGACGAUCCCUAGCUGGUCUGAGAGGAUGACCAGCCCCCCUGUAACUGAGACACUGUCCAGACUCCUGCGGGAGGCAGCAGUGGGGAAUAUUGCACAAUGGGCGCAAUCCUGGUUCAGCCAUGCCGCGUUGCUUAAGGAGGCCUUCGGGUUUUAAAGUACUUUCAGCGAGGAGGCGUUACGCGCAGGAGAAGCACCGGCUAACUCCGUGCCAGCAGCCGCGGUAAAAC